CAAGAGAUCAUGUUAAAAUUCUUACGCAAGAACACUUAUUCUCCACUCCAUUAUUGCUAACCUUCCAAUCCCACCAUCCGAAGCUAUAUCUCCUAACCUACGUACCUCUAUAUUAUACAACCAUAAUAUUUACCAUUCCUCGAGUACCAUUCACAUUGAAAAGGAGGUACAUAUUUGUACAACUCCAUUGCCUUCAACGACCGUACACAAUGGACAAUUUACCACCACUACCGCCCCAAUUUUCUGCUCAAUCACUAAGCCUACCGAACUACAAACCACAAUAUUGGAUCGAGGUGGGGUUGAUGGGUCAUGCGAUAUCCUUCAACCUCCAGAUCAACCGGCAGAACUCGGUUCUCAUCAUCCAGAAUACGAAUUACUUAGCCUGAUUGAUAUCAGAAGGAAUGCAUCUUGUCAUGAACAACUACAUCUAUCAUAUAUGGAUGAACAAUAUCCUACAACCACUGGCCCCCUCGAUGAAUCAAAACUUGGCCCACAACAUGCGAGAAAUGUGGAACAUAUAGGGCAAUCCAACACUCAGAUGUCCCAGAACAUUCCCCUCAACUUGCCUUUAUUUGCACCAGGGGAAAUGUACAUAAUGAAUCCCAUAUUCACCAUAUGGGGUGUACACCAAACCCUAACACAACAAACUCCUCAAUAAAAUCCACUGAUGGUAAUGGUAGCCCAGGCACAAUAGAUGGACAUGCAAAACCAGAAGGAAAACCAAGAGAAAGAGGAGGCAGAACUCCCGCCACAUCAUUGAGAACCCAGGGUGACGUUUUCAAAUCUAAGCGAGGUAAAAAUACUAAUCUUCAAGGAAUGACUAAACAAAAGAAGUGCAUCAUUAGUUGUCCGCUAACAUUGUUCAAGUGCUCGAUAGAUAUAAGGCCUCUACACAAUCCAACAAUAGGAAAAAAAUGUAGUAAUUCUAGUACCAUCCCUCAAAAGGAACACUGCACCAAUAAUAAGGGAAAACAACCAACACCCACUCAAUUCAUUAAUGAUGAAUCAACCAAUUAACUUUGUAAUUUGGAACAUACAAGGUGCAAACAAUGCAAAAUUCAAAAAAAAAUAAAAAAAUAGAAAAAUUAUGGACACACAUAAGCCUAGUAUGGUAACUCUUCUUGAAAUAAGAAUGGUAAAUCAUAUCUCAAUAUUGGAGGAGUUUAACUUCACGAAGAUAAUAGAGGUACCAGGGGAGGGACAAGUUGGAGGACUGGUGUUCAUGUGGAACCAUGCAAGACAUCACCAGAAGAAGCUAAGAAAUUCAUGCCAUGAUCGAGGUAAAGUCAAAUCACAAAAAAUUCACUUUUUAGUUCUAUAUAAGCUACUACAGACAAAAAGAACAGAUAUAUCAUAUGAAAAAAUAUUGAAAGUAUCUAUAAUAGAUACAAAGGUGCUUGGCUAGUAGGAGGAGAUUUUAACAAUGUUAUUAUGUCUCAAGAAAAACUAGGAGGAAGGGCAGUAAAUCAAACUAGGGCAAAAGACAUUCUAGCUAGUCUAAACCAUUAUAAACUUCUUGAUGUAGGCUUCAAAGGCUACAAAUUCAUAUGGUCAAACCAUAGAAAGAAAAGAAAACAGGUUGAUUAUGGAACAAUUAGAUAGAGUGUAUGUUAAUGUCAAAUGGCUAUAUCUAUACCGUAAAGCCUCGAUAGUGCAUUUACAAAAAAACCAUUCUGAUCAUAACCCCACAUCUCCUUGAAAUGCCAAAAAAAAAGAAGUCAAACAUGACAAACCAUUCUGGUUGGAAUCAAUUUAGUGCACGCACCCCAAUUUCAUAAAUGUAGAGAAAAUGAAUUGGGACAAUAGAGACCUUCUAACAGCUACCAACAACCUUUAAGGAUAAAGUUAGGGUAUGGAGUAGGAAGGUCUAUGGUAAUAUUCAUAAAUAAAAGAAGCAAAUCCUUGCAAGGUGAUGGGAAAUACAAAAUAGUCUAAAUUACCACACUAGCUUAUUUCUACAAUAAUUAGAGAAAUCCUUACAACAUAAGUGUAAUUAUAUCCUCAAAUUAUAAAAAGAUUAUUGGAAACUCAAGUAUAGGGUCAUGUAGAUGAAUGCUGGUGAUGCAAACAUAAAGCCUUUCUACAUUUCAGCCACGUAUCGAAGAAGAACAAAUAAAAUUAAUUUCUUUAAAGGCGUAUAGGAAAUUGGAUAGAUGAUCACAAAUCUAUCAUGAUCCAUAUUACUAAUUUCUUCCAAAACAUAUUUAUAACAUCCCACACACUCUCUACCUCGCAUACCAAAACUAGUAUGACAUCACCCUCCUAUACAAUUGACUUUUCGUGCCUAGAUUACCUACUGUUGGAUGCUAAAAUUUCUAAAGUCAUUUUCUCAUUUAAUCCCUAUAAAGUCCCAUGCCCGGAUGAUUUACAUCCUUUUUUCUUGGAAAAUAUUGGAAGAGCAUUAGUGGAAAGGUUAAUGACUCCUGUCAUAACGUAUUUAGGGGAAAUCAUAUACCAAAAAAAAUAAAUGAUUACAUUUUCCUAAUUCCAAAAAUUAAAAAUGCUAACAAUCUAAGGAACUUUAAAUCAAUAAGUCUUUGUAACACUAUCUAUAAGGUAAUCACCAAAAUUUUAGCCAGCAGGAUAAAACAAGAUAAUUAGACCACAUGAAGCUAGUUUCAUCAAAGGGAGAAGAGCAUGUGAUAAUACAAUUAUAGUUCAAGAAGUAAUAAAAUACAUCAAAAGUUCAAGAAACAAGAAAGGUCAUAUGAUCCUAAAAUAGAUCUCGAAAAAGUGUUUGAAAAACUAGAAUAAUCCUUCAUUUAUAGAACUAUGAGAUAUUUCAAAUUCCCCCCAAAAAAUAUCAAUUUAAUCAUGUCUUGCAUUAGUUCCUCUGGCUUUACUAUUCUGGUAAAUGGAGCAAAAUCUGAAUGUUCACACCAACGAGAUAAAUUAGACAAGGAGAUCCGAUAUCCCUCUAUAUUUUCAUACUAUGUAUAGAAAUAAUCUUAACGAUGAUAGGAUAUUAGGGUAUGUGAUACAAUAAUAUUAUCCUUAGAAGCCCCCUUUAUCACACUUAUUUUUCACGGAUGAUUCAAGACUAAUGAGAAUAGCCAAUAGCAAGACUGCCAUCACUAUCUUAAUUGCCUUGAAGAUUUCUACCAAUACAGGCCAGGUCAUCAAUAGAGCAAAAUCCAAAUUACUCAUGUCUCAAAAUUUCUCAAAAACCACAAAAAAUGAGCUUACAUCUCAACAUAAAGCUUAGUGAUAAUUUUGGUAGGUACUUAGGAUUUUCCAUCUUAAAUUCCAACUCCAAACCAAAAGACUACUAAUUUGUUAUUGAUAUACUGAGAGCAAAAUUGGAAAGUUGGAAAGCCAAAUGGCUUAAAACUACAUGAAGAAGUAUUCUAGAUUUUUCUACCCUUAAUAGUAUUCCGAAUCACAUCAUGCAAUACUCUCUUCUAUCAACAAACACAGUAAAAGAUAUUGAUAAAGUUUAAAAAGUACUUCUUAUGAAACUCCUUGAAAAAAAAUUUACAUCUUCUAAAUUGAAUACUCUAACAAAAGACAAAAUCACACGGUGGGAGGAGGGAGGGAGGGGGAGUUAGGAAUUAGGAAAGCUAAAAGCAAAAACAUGGCCCUAAUAACUAGCCUAGGCUGGAGAAUUAUAAUCAAUACAAACUCCCUAUAGGCUAGGGUUUUAUCCAGUAAAUAUGCGGUUAAUAGGGAAAAUUCAUAACUUCGUUUAUUUGGAAGAGUCUCUUAAAGGGUUGGUGUUUUUGCAAUAGAGGUAUUAGAUGGGGCAUAAUUAACAAAUCCACAUUAAACGCCUGGGAAUCAAACUUGAUACCAAAUGUGAUGAAACUUAGAAGGGUUAUUGAAGGCCCUUUAAAAAAUUACGAAAACAACUUUACUGUGGAUAAUAUUAGAAAUUGUCACCAGUAGAACCUAACAAAAAUCUCCUUUGAACUACCUACACAAAUUGUUGAUAACAUAAAUUCAAUUAAUAUUCCUAACGACCAUAAAAUCGGCAAUAAUAUUAUCCGGAGCCUCACUUUCAGCGGCCUCUUCACAACCACAUCUCACAAUCAAAUUAGAUAACGAGGAAAAAGUCCAUAAAGACUUCACAUGGAUUUGAAACCUACACAGUUUUAAAAAAUUAAAAUAAUUUAUUUGGAAAGGUUACCAUGAUAAACUUCCUAGUAGCUCAUACCUACUAGUGCCACGCUCCAAACCGAGGGACAUGAUCGACGCUCGACCAAGUAGCCUCAGUCAAGUGGACCCGGGUGUCUUUCCUAUCCCGCGUGUUACCCCGUGUUUUCGUUACUCAUUAAUCAAGUGAAAUAGCCAUUUACAAUUUGAAAACACAUUCUUACGCGAUUUACAUAAUAUACUUGGUUACUUACGUGGUUUACAACUUUCAACAUACAAAAUACAUAUUUACAUAAGUUCAUAACCCACUUUUCCUGUCUAUGGAGCCUAUAAGGAUUAAAAAAAUAAUACAAUCCUUUCCGGUAGCAAGGCUCCGGCUAUGCCUUAUACAAAUAUUAAAAUAAGACUCCGGAAGAAAAACGGCAUGAGCCACACAGGGCCCCGAGAAGAAAGGGGGCUCACCAAUUCAGCUGACUGGAAGUGAAGGAGUGCUACUGGCAGUGGAUUGGGGUACUUGCUAUGGAUCCACCUACAAUCAUAACACGAAUGUAGUGUCCCCGACAAAAGGGAUGUUGGUACAUUUGAAUUGUACUGGUAUGUAUGAACAAACUUUACCCCAAGUAAAAUCAAGCAAUGCACAUGUAGCAAACAAUAAUAGAAUCAACGAUCAAAUACACAUGAAAGGAACAACCAAAGCCAAACAAGUUUUACAAUCUCUUCUUUUUCCAUUUCAACAUUAUUCCAUCACAUCAAUGAUUUUUACAACUUUUGCAUAUUUGCAUUUAAAUAGUGAUUUUGAUCACUUUUUCACCCUUAUUACCUCGGCCUCCCUUAUCACCACAAUCCACACCUUAUAACUUUGUGUUGCGGUGCGCAACCCGAUCCCAUCGAACAAUCAUAAUUUACACAACAACAACAACAAUAACAAUAACAACAAUCCACAAAGAGUUUCAUAAAUAUCAAUAGUAUUUCCAUCAAGUACAACAACCUGGAGAUAAUUCAAGUCACAACAAUAAUUGCUCAUGACAAGCCACACAUGAUAUUACUACAGUUGUUCAAUUGCAUCAAUUAUGACUUCUUUUCGUCAUUUGCUAUACAUCUCUUACAACAUAAAUACAUUUACACAUACUUGAUUUGUUGCUAUUUACUUACACCAACAUAUCGGGAAACUUAACCAACAAUAUUCAAGACAUAUUAAUUACAAAAAUUCAUAAAUAGUCCACAUAAGUGACAUAUACCAAUCACUCGUACACCAACAAGGUGACCUUACAAAGGUUAAAGUUAGCCAUACAUACCUGCAGUCGAAUUUUCCUGAAAUACAACCCAACAGAGCCCUAAUCAGGGUGUCAAAAGUCACGAGCAUCUACCAGAAUAUUAAUCCACUACAAGGUCUAAAGUAUACAAAACUGGAAUAAAGAACAAAAGAGAGGAAAAUGGUGGAGUGAACACCGUCAAUCACCUCCUUAACUCAUAUAACUCCGCCUCUGAUCGGUCAAAACCCGCUACCGAGUGGAUAGAUACCUACAUUUGCACACGAGGUGUAGGGAGUAAAGUGAGUACUCUAACUCAAUGAGUAAUAAAGGCAAAUAACAACUGAGCGGUAAGAAAUCACGUAUGACAAAUUAUUAUGCUAUAUAGAAGCAGUGUAAUCCCUUUUUACAAAAAUAGUGAAGCUAUGAAAUAUUUAGCGAAACACCUUUGCUCAGUUUAAAAUCUCUUUUAAAAAUGACAUUUUCUAGCGGUUACGCAAACGAAUGUAAAACAAAUAGUGCAGAUAAGCAAAGAAUAUUUUGCCCUGCGGGCACAACACUCAAUUAUCAAGGAAUGCCAGGGUAUCAGAUGUAUAUUGCAAGAAGUAGCACAAUCAAUAAAUAAUGGUAGACAAAUAAGAAAAUGCAAAUACAUCAAACAGUACCGGUACCGCUGCGGCAUGCAACCUGUUCCACAUAUCGCUGCGGCAUACAGCCCGAUCCGUUUAUCGUCAACGCCGCUCACUAGGGGUGUGUAGACGCUGGGAUGGGUCCCUUACGGCCCAAGCGCAGUAUCAAUCCAUCUCGUGGCAUCAAAUCUAGGCCCUCAGCCUCAUCUUUGUAUCAAUAUAAUACUGCUGCAGCGUGCAACCCGAUCCAAAAAGUACCUCACAAUACAGGCCCUCACCCUUACUCAGUCAACAAAAUCACAUAAGCCACUCGGGUAGCAAUAAACAUGAUGAUCAGCCCAAAAUAUUAUUUAGAAUAUCAUUUCAAGUGUUAAAGCAAAAUAAACUUGGGUGAGUUUUAAAAACAAUAGUAAAUAUAUGUCUGAGUUCUAGUAUAGAACCGAAGCAGUGAGGAAAUGUCAACAAACAUCCCCGAAGGAAUCAAAUAGUUGGAACGAAGCCCAAAUAUGACAAUCAGCCCAAAUUAUGAUGAUGACAAGUAAAUUUCAGUCAAAUACGCAAUAAAUUCAUCAAUCGGGACGACCAAGUCACAAUCCCCAAUGAUGCUCUACCCCACGCUCACUAUCAAGCGUGCAAGUCACCUCAAUAUAGCACUACGAUGUGCAAAUAUGUGGUUUCAAACCCUCAAAAUAUCAUUUAUAAUCAUUACUCACCUCGAACCUGUGAAAUCCCUAGCUUGCGACGCCAUUGCCCCUCAAUUCGGCCUCCUUGCGCGUCGAAUCUGACCAAAACUACAAAUGAAUACGUCACAAUAUGCCAAUGGAAUAAUACCCAAUCGAAAACAAUAUAAUAAUAUUAAAAAUCUCGAAAUUGGCAAAACCCGAGCCACGAGCCCACUUUUCAAAUUUUCACAUUAAUAGAUUCCUUAUCUCGCCACGAGUCUAUACAUAUAAAGAAUACCAAAAUUAGAGUCCAAAUGACCUCUCAAAUUCAUAUUUGAAAUUUCAAAACUCAAGCCCUAGUUCUUCCCCUUUUUGCUAAGUUUUCAUGAAUUUCUAGGUUAAUUUCACUUAAUAAUCUCGUUUUUAGUUCGUAGGACUUACCUCCAAGCAACCCCAGUCGAAACCCUCUUCAAUUUCUCCCAAAAAGCUCUCAAGAUGCUCAACAAUGGAGGAAAAUAACUUUGGCUCGCGGAUGAUAUAUUACUAAAAACCUUCUGCCCAGCUGACAUUUUACUCUAUGCAAACGUGAGGGCUCUAUCGCAUUCGUGAUGAACAAAUCUUACCUCUUACCAAAUUACCCUUCGCAAAAGCGGUGCCUUAUCCGCGAACGCGAUGCUUUAACCGAUACAACUAUGCGAACAUGAGCCUUGUGACACGAACGCAAAAAACAAAUAAUAUGGGACCUUAAAUCCUUCUAUGUGAACGCGGAUUCUCCCAUGCGAACAAGAGGCUGCACCAUCUAACUCACUGCGAUCACGAAUGCCCAACCGCAAACGUGAUGAAUAAAACUCCUGCCUCCAAAUUCCUCUUAUGCGAUCGCAGCACCAGGCUUCCCUGCAACAGCUGAUGCAAUUUCUGCAAUUCUCAAAGUCCAAAACUUCCCGAUUAGCCAUCCGAAAUUACCCCGAGUCCCCCCGAGACCUCAACCAAAAGCACUAACACAUCCUAAUACAUUAUCCAAACUUGUUUCAAUCAUCAAAACACCUCAAACAACAUCAUAACCAUCAAAUUGCAUCAAAUUCAAGCUUAAGUUCUUCUAAAACUUCCGAAACAUGCUUUUGAUAAAAAACCUGACCAAACGACAUCGGAUGACUUGAAAUUUUAUACAUACAUCCCAAAUCAUACAACGAAGCUACAAUAACUCUCAGAAUUCCAUUUCGACCCUCGGAUAAAAAUCUCACCUAUCGACCGGAAUUUCACAAAAAUACUAACUUUACCAAUUCAAGCCUAAUUCUACAGCGGACCUCCAAAAUCACUUCCGAUCACACUCCUAAGUCACAAAUCAUACUUGGAAGCUAACCGAAUCAUCAGAAUUCAUAUCCGAGCCUUCUAAGACAUAAGUCAACAUCCCGUUGACUUUUCCAAACUAAGCUUUCCUUAAAGAGACUAAGUGUGUCAUUUCCUUCUAAAAAUCAUGUGCAGCCAACUCGAUCACAUAAGACACCGAUAAUGAAGCAUAAAGAAGAAAUGUAGUAGUAACUCAUGAGACGACGGGUCGGGUCGUCACAUCCUCCCCAACUUAAACAAAUGCUCGUCCUCGAGCAUACCCAGAGUUGUUCUAGAAGCCAACCAAUAGCUGAAUAACUUUGCCAUGCAUAUACCCGGGGGUAAUCCCUCGUUACCUUAUCUCAUAUAGGUCCGAUUACACAUUAUCACUGCAAGUUCAUAUUCCAAUCUAGCCCAUAAACCUUAGAACCACAUUUCCAUUUCCGAAAUCGUACACAAGUCCAGAACCCCCCAUCUAUAUUCAGAACAAGUCCGAACCAACUGUAAUAACUUAUACCUGCAACCUUAGGGGAAAUUACCUAAUAUUUCACAUAACUCAAAUACAUAUAGCGAUAACUCCUAUUAACAACAGUUGCACACAAGGCCUGAAUACCUGUAGAAAACCUCCUAAACAACUAAAGUGUCUUUCCAAUACUUUUACAUAUACUGCAACUUAUAACUAAAACACACAGUAAGCCAUCACCAUUUCUCAAAUCCACCGUUCAUGAACUCACUUACCUUUGGCAAAUACUACAUGAAAUUUCUGAGUCGAAGCUCGAUAUUAUCCCUCCAACAUACUGAAAUCGAAUUUGCUUGUACUCAUUAAAGAUCCCAACGAUCUCAUAUAAUUAACCCACUACUCUGGUGACAUUACACAUUAAUACAGGACUAAGCCAUAACUCGCACAAUACGUGCACCAAUAAGCAACAACCUAAACAUACUCAAUUCAUAAAAAUGACUCAAAUGAAAGAGCUGUACUUCAAGCUCUCCAGUACCACCACAACACAAGACGAAUAACUCGUCUCCCAUUAUAGAGAUAGAACACACGAAUCUAACCCGCAAUAUCAUACAUCCCCAUAACUUCGCCCCAAUGCAUGACCUCAUCCAGUAUGAGCUGCUUAGGCAAUAAUCCACCCCCGUACAUAAUCAAAAUUUUCAUAUGACUUCACAAAGUGCUGAUAGGCUACCGAUUAAAAUACGGUACAAAAGGAAGACGAACUAUGGAAGGAACUUCCUAACUUAUGCACUAAUACGUGCUCUCCUUAGAAAGAUAGGAAGCAACGCAUACAAAAAUAGCAUAUAGAAAACAAUGCUCAAUAUCAUAUUGUUGCAGUGUGCAACCCGAUCCAAAUAACACACUCAUGGGGGCGUGCCACCCGAUCCACACAUAACCUCACCUAAAGAGGUGUACAUCGAGCUAAAUUACUCACUAAUAUAAAAUACCGAAUUUUGGUCACAAGCACGCUAAGUGAAUAAUACCUUCCCCGAGGGGACAUAUAGCACUAUAAGCUACCCAAACUCAAGCUCAACUGAGGUGCGAUAUACAAUCUGAAUCUCGAGAGCCAUUUUGCUCAUAAACAUUAUUUCUAUGCGGAUCCUCAACACAUAAGCAUUUUCUUAAACCGUCUCACAAAACACACAGCGUAGUGUAUCACUGCAUAAAAUAUCUGACAAUGAAAUAACACCCUGACUCCUCCUCCAUAAGGAGCGCAUCACUGAAAUGAACCUAUUUAGCCUGACACAGAGCCGAUAUUCACAUUUGAAUCCAUUGACCAACCUCAAGCUGAUUCUGAUCGCACUGAAGUAGGUUAAUUACCUUUCAAAGGUCCCUAACAACUCAUCUUGCGCUCAUAACACAUAAGAACAUCCAUCAUAGUCGGAGAAAUAAUCCGUAGUCCACAACUCAAUAGACUGAGUGCUCUCCGGGCAUAUUUUAUCAAUUCAACGAUUGCAGAUACUCAACACAUAAGCAUUUCCUCAAACCGUCUCACAACUCAUACGGCGCAUUGUAUCACUGCAUAAAAUAUCUGAGAACGAAAUAACACCCUGACUCCUCUUCCAUAAGCAGCACAUCAUUGAAAUGAACCCGUUUGGCCUGACAUAGAGCCCAUACUCACAUUUGAAUCCAUCCACCGACUUCAAGUCGAUUUUGAUCGCACUGAACUAGGUUAAUUACCUUUCAAAGGUCCCUAACAACUCAUCUCCGCUUGUAACACAUAAUAACAUCCAUCAUAGUCAGAGUAUAUCACCUUUGUCAAAAUUUUCCUUCAAUCGAGCCAUCCCCGGCUCAAUUUCUGCAGCCAGAACUGAUUCGCCAGUAUGUCUUAAAUCGGAACCAACAUAGCACAUAACCGUAAAAUCAACUCAUAUACUCUAUUGCUGCCGUAAUACCAUAGUGAGACUAAACUCUAUCCUUCAUAAGCUUAUGGAAACACAAAUCAUCUAGAAUUUUUAACUUUUCUGCAAAUCUUAUAUUCACUCAUACAACAGUUAAGCCCACUCCCUAGGCGAUCCAAUCUAGAUUUCAACACAUUUUCUUCAAUUGUAAAUGAGAUCUCCUAACAUAUACAUAAGGAUCACCACUUUAGAACACUCCACAGGAGAUAACCCACCUUUUUCGCCUCAACAUAACAUUUGUGUAUACCUUCCACCGUCAUACACAUUACACAACCACUUAGUCUUCCUGAGUCUGAACUUAUACCACAUCAUGAAAGUUACUCUACUCUCAACUGGAAACAUAAAAAGAUUCUUCACGUGCCCAUAACUCAGGGCUAUACCUCGAAUCACAAUGGAAAUCAAACACUUAAUAGUUCUUCUAUCAUCCAACACAUCUUUAUCGUCACUUCCAAGUCACAUAAAUACAUCUCGCAGUACUAACUUACUCAUCACGUGGCUAUCCAACUGACAUUUCCACUAAUAGGGACAUUACCAAAUGUAUAAGUUCGAAACACUUGCUCACACAAUCAGCACCUCGGUGCACAAGCCAUAGACCAAUACGGCCUCAAGUCCUCUAGACUGGCCCAACAUAAACUCACAGAGAUUACAUCUCGCCCCUUGAUCAAGGAAUCAUAAUCCAUCAAGGCACAUUUGAUGCUGACCGGUCAUGCGCGCACACAAACGCAUGGAAGGAAUUUCAAGAGUUUCUUUUCAAGCUGAAUCAGGGACGCACGAUAAGAAUGACUCAUGAGACCUAGUAACCUAGGCUCUGAUACCAACUUGUCAUGACUCAAACCCUGCACAGGUCGUGAUGGCACCUCUCGUGAAGACGAGGCUAGCCAACUAACCCAACUCAUCUUUUCAAAAUAGUUAACAUAAAUAAACAACUUAAUUAUGACAUAAUAAUAUUAAUUAGCAAAAAUACCACCCAGCACAGCCCUAAUUAGAGUGUCACAAGUCACGAGCAUCUACCAGAAUAUAAAUCCACUACAAGGUCUAAAGUAUACAAAACCAGAAUAAUGAACAAAAGAGAGGAAAUGGUGCUGCGAACACCGGCAACCACCUCCUUAACUCAUAUAACUCCGCCUCUGAUCGGCCAAAACCCUCUACCGGGUGAAUAGAUACCUACAUCUGCACACGAGGUGCAGGGAGUAAAGUGAGUACUCUAACUCAAUGAGUAAUAAAGAAAAAUAACAAUUGAGCGGAAAGAAAUCAUGUAUGACAAAUCAUUAUGCUAUAUAGAAGCAGUGUAAACCCUUUUUAGAAAAACAGUGAAGCUAUGAAAUCUUUUGCGAAACACCUUUGCUCAGUAUAAAACCUCUCUUAAAAAUGACAUUUUCCGGUGGCUGCACAAACGAAUGCAAAACAAAUAUUGCAGAUAAGCACAGAAUUUUCUGCCCCGCCGGCACUACACUCAAUUAUUAAGGAAUCUUAAAGUAUCAGGUCUAUAUUGUAAGAAGUAGCACAAAACAACAAAUAAUAGCAGAAAGAUAAGAAAAUUCAAACACAUAAUAUAGUACCGGAACCACUACGACGUACAACCCGCUCUACAUAUUGCUGUGGCGUACAUCCCGAUCCGUUUAUCAUCGACGACGCUCACUGGGGGUGUGUAGACUCCAUGAGGGACCCCUUACGGUCCAACCGCAAUAUCAAGCCAUCUCGUGGCAUCAAAUCUAGGCCCUCUGCCUCAUAUCAGUAUCAAUUUAAUACUACUGCGGCGUGCAGUCCGAUCCAUAAGUACCUCACAAUAUAGGCCCUCGGCCUUACUCAGUCAACAAAAUCACAUAAGCCACUCGGGUAGCAAUAAACAUGAUACUAAACAAAAAAUAUUAUUUAGAAUAUCAUUUCACGUGUCAAAGCAAAAUAAACUUGGCUGAGUUUUUAGAACAGUAGAAAAUACAUGAGUUUGUUCAAGUAUAGAAUCGAAGCAGUGAGGAAAUAUCAACAAACAUCCCCGAAUGGUUCAAAUAGCUGGAAUGAAGCCCAAAUAUGGCAAUCAGUCCAAAUUAUAAUGAUGACAAGUAAAUUUUAGUCAAAUAUGCAGUAAAUUCAUCAAUCGGGACGAACCAAGUCACAAUCCCCAAUGAUGCUAUACCCCAUGCCCGCUAUCCACGUGCAAGUCACCUCAAUAUAGCACUACGAUGUGCAAAUACAGGAUUUCAAACCCUCAAAAUAACAUUUAGAAUCAUUAUUCACCUCGAACUGGUGAAAUCCAUAGCUCGUGGCGCCGUUUCCCCUCAAUUCGGCCUCUUCGUGCGUCGAAUCUGACCAAAACCACAAUGAAUACGUCACAAUAUGCCAAUGAAAUAAUACCCAAUCGAAAACAAUCGAAAAAUAUUAAUAAUCUCGAAAUUGGAAAAAGCCGAGCCGCGGUCCCAUUUCUCGAGUCUCAGAAAUUUUCACAUUAAUAGAUUCCUUAUCUCACCACGAGUCUAUACAUAUAAAGAACACCAAAAUCAGAGUCCAAAUGACCUCUGAAAUUUAAAUUUGAAAUAUCAAAACUCAAGCCGUAGUUUUUCCCUUUUUGCUAAGUUUUCAUGAAUUUCUAGGUUACUUUCCCUUAAUAAUCACGUUUUGAGUUCAUAGGACUUACUUACAAGCAACCCCAGUCGAAACCCUCUUCAAUUUCUCCCAAAAACCUUUCAAGAUGCUCAACAAUAGAGGAAAAUAACUUAGGCUCGUGGAUGAUAUAUUAUUAAAACCCUUCUGCCCAGCUAACAUUUUACUCUAUGCGAAUGCGAGGGCUCUCUCGCGUUCACGAUGAAAAAAUCUUGCCUCUGACCAAAUUACCCUUCAUGAACGCGGUGCCUUAUCUGCGAAUGCGAUGCUUUAACUGAUAUAACUAUGCAAAGGCGAGUCUUGUGACGCGAACGCGAAGAACAAAUAAUACGGGACCUCAAAUCCUUCUAUGCGAACGCGAAUUCUCCCAUGCGAACGCGAAGAUGCACCAUCUAACUCACUGCGAUCACAAACGACCAACCAAAAAUGUGAUGAACAAAACUUCUGCCUCCCAAAAUCCUCUUAUGCGAUCGCAACCCUAGGCUCGCGAUCGCGAAGACCAAAAUAUCCCUGCAACAGCUGAUGUAAUUUCUGCAAUUCUCAAAGUCUAAAACUUCUGGAUUAGCCAUCCGAAAUCACCCCGAGGCCCCCCAGGACCUCAAUCAAAAGCACUAACACAUCCUAAAACAUCGCCCAAACGUAUUCCAAUCAUUAAAACACCUCAAACGACAUCAUAACCAUCAAAUUCAAGCUUAAGUUCUUUUAAAACUUUCGAAACAUGCUUUUUUAUCAAAAACCCGACCAAACGACAUCCGAAUGACCUGAUAUUUUAUACACACAUCCCAAACCACAUAACAAAGCUACAACAACUCUCGAAAUUCCAUUACGAUCCUCGGAUCAAUAUCUCACCUAGCGACCAGAAUUUGCCAAAAUACUCACUUCACCAAUUCAAGCUUAAUUCUACAUCGGACCUCCAAAAUCACUUCCGAUCACACUCUCAAGUCACAAAUCAUCCCCUGAAGCUAACCGAUUCAUCGAAAUUCAUUUCCGUUCCUUCUAACAUAUAAGUCAACAUCCGGUUGACUUUUCCAAACUAAGCCUUCCUUAAAGAGACUAGGUGUCUCAUUUCCUUCUGAAAAUCAAUCCCAGCCAACUUGAUCGCACAAGACACUGAUAAUGAAGCAGAAUAAUGGAGGAAAUAGAGCACUAACUCAUGAGAAAACAGGUCGGGUUGCCGCAUGAACAUACAAAAUAUGUCAUUGAAUAUGUAAUUAAGCAUUUGAGAUAAAGAUCGUGGAAGAAGAGUAGACAUCCACCGUAAUGUGAUAAUUAUCAUAACACUCCCCCUUGGAUGUCCAUAAAUAAUGUGCCUUGUUAAAACUAUACUAGAAAAAAAUCCUAUGAGAAAAAAUUCCUAGUAAAGGAAAAAGAGUGCAUAUGUUUAGAAAUACACCUUUUAAUUGCCUCAUUAAAAACCUUUCAAGGAAAACCUAGUAGGACAAAACCUUGUAAGGGAAAAAAGUACAACGCGUAUUAACUCCCCAUGAUGAGAGCAUCAAUCACAUCCUUGAUCAUUCACAUCCCAAUCUUAUAAACUAGUUUCUUGAAGGUUGACGUAGGUAGAGAUUUAGUGAACAAAUUAGCCAUAUUAUCACUUGAAUGAAUAUGUUACACAUUGAUAUCACCGUUAUUUUGAAGAUCAUGUAUGAAAAAUAACUUUGGUAAAAUGUGCUUUGUCCUAGCUCUUUUUUAUGAGUCCUCCCUUCAAUUGGGCUAUGCAUGUUAUAUUGUCUUCAUACAAAAUUGUGGGUAGUUUGUAAUAAUUCAAACCACAUUUAUCUCGAAUAAUAUGUACUAUAGACCUCAACCAUACACAUUCUCAAUUUUCUUCAUGAAUAGCAAUUAUCUCAGCAUGAUUAGAUGAAGUAGCCAUGAUUGAUUGCGUAAUCGAUCGCCAUGAUGUGGCAGUGCCUCUACAUGUACACAUAAUGUUACGACCCAGAUUUCUCAACCUUCGGGGAUCGAGAUGGCGCCUACAAAUGGGAGCUAGGCGAGCCAAUUAAAAAUUACAACUCCUUAACCACAUAAUUUUUUUUCUAAUAUUUAUCAACAAUAAAAUUAAAGCAACCAAUUUAAUCAAAUAAGCGGAAGACUUAAUAUUAAUGAAAACGAAUAAUAAUACGGAAGUUCAUCAUAGCCUCUACCCAAAAUCUGGUGUCACAUAACUCACGAACUACUAAGAUUCACUAAAUUCAACGUCGGAAAGAAAGUGCAAACUGUUUGUCUCGAAAUACAUGAGAUAUAGAUGGAAAUAAAGAUAGAGGAGACGCCGAUGCUUGCGUACGCCUGCAAGGGUACCUCGGUGUCUCAUUGGAAUGAAGGCUCACUCCCAGGCUACUGCUGCUGCUCAAAAGCUGCUUCAGUAUUUGCACAUAAGUGCAGAGUGUAGCAUCAACACAACCGACCCCAUGUGCCGGUAAGUGUCUGGCCUAACCCCGGUGCUAGGACCAGACUCCAGAUAAACUUGUACAGUUAUAUAAUAUACGGCAAAGAAAUAACAGGAAAUAACAAGUAAAAUUGGGAAGAGGAAAAAUGCUCUGGGGAUAGCAAAAUGAACACAAUUUUCAGAAUUGACAAAGAACUCACUAUAAAACUACUAAAACGAAUAAGGAUAUAUUAAACAACUUUCAUUUGAAUGCUCAUCUCGUUGCAGGCGUGCAACCCGAUCCCAUUUCUCAAUUUCUCGUGUUAGGCAUACCACCUGAUCCCAUUUAAUCGUAAUGCGUGGUAGGCGUACCACCCAAUCCCAUUUCAAUCAAUAUCUUGUGGUAGGUGUACCACCCGAUCCCAUUUCAUCAAUAUCUUGUGGUAGGGAUACCACCUGAUAUUUAAAUCAAUAUCUUGUGGUGGGCAUACCAUCCCAUCCCAUUUCAUCAAUAUCUUGUGGUAGGCAUACCACCCCAUCCCAUUUCAAUCAAUAUCUUGUGGUAGGCAUACUACCCCAUCCCAUUUCAAUCAAUAUCUUGUGGUAGGCGUACCACCAGAUCCCAUUUCAUCAAUCUUAUGGUAGGCGUACCAACCGAUCCCAUUUCAAUCUAUAUCUUGUGGUAGACAUACCACCUGAUCCUAUUUCUUCCAACACAAUACACAAAAUAAUCCCGGCAAGGGAACAAGACAAUGUAAUAACUUCCUGCCAAGGGAAUACAAUAACACAAUUCAAAUGUUCUGGAAAGGGAGGGUCAACUAUAACCAAUUCUGUUCAAUUUCUUCUCAAUACAGUUAAAGCCAAUGCUCAGUAUCAAGGAUUAUCAAUCAAGGCUUUUAUAGGAUCGAUUAAGAAUUCACAACUAUCAAUUUAAGACCCACGUUCAUGCUCGACACCAACAUAUGGAUACUCGUCACCAUGCCCAUAUGUCAUACACAACACAAACAUGUAGCAAAUACGACUCAACUCUUAAUCCCUCAAGCUGGGGUUAAACCGAACAGUUACCUCGAUGUUUGAACUCACUCAAGCCUCAAUUAUAGCUUUACCCCUCGAUUCCACCACCAAUCUGCUCGAAUCUAGUCACAAAUUACUUAAAUAUAUCAACAAAUGCUAAGUGAAACAAUUUGAAUGCAUAAAAAUGGAUUUCCAAAAGUUUUGCCCAAAAAUUCCCCCCGGACCCGCGUGGUCAAAGUUUAAAUACAUCAACAAAUGUUAAGUGAAAUAAUUUGAAUGCAUAAAAAUGGAUUUCCCAAAAGUUUUACCCAAAAAUUCCAAAAAUGCCCCCGAGCCCGUGUGGUCAAAACCCGAGGUUCGAACCAAAAUCCGGUUACCCAUUCCCCCAUGAACUCAAAUAUAUGAUUUAUUUUUGGAUCGGACCUCGAAUUGAGGUCCAAAACCCCCAAUUUUAGAAAACCUAGGUUCUACCCGAAAUUCCCAAAUUUCCCCAUUAAAAUUUUGAUUUGAGUUGAAGUCAUGUUAAAUGAUGUUAAAGAGUGGGGAAAAUUGUUUAGAAAUCACUUUCCAAUCGUUUUGGAGAAGAAAAGUUGUUUGAAAAAUCGCCUUUUAUGUUUUGGGAUUUUUCAAAAGUGUAAAGUGAUUGAAAAUCCCGUCUUUUUAUACCCUCCCAGAAGUCCCAGUACGGAUCGCGAAGGAGGACUGUGGCUCCUGGUAGAUCUAGAGGUUGUUGGUUCUCUGAGACUUGCUACGCGGACUAUGCAUGAGUGACCGCGUUUGCGCAGCUUCCACCACGGAUUGCGCCAAAUAGACCGCGGCCGCACUGGCCCCUCCGCAGCCACACACGAUCUCAUGGGGGUCGCGUUAGAGGGUUCCAAGGCCUGCAAUAUUACAACUCUCUGAUUCUUCCAGUGCGGAACGCACUGACUGGGAGUGCGGCUGCGCUAGUUAACCUAGAACACUGCUAUUUUUUAGUCUAAAACCUCCUGGAACCUACUUAAGACUCACCCAAGCUCUAAAACCUCACGGACUUACUCGUGUGAUCAAAUCACCAAAAUAAUAUUAUAUACAUAUAAUCAAGCCCCAAAGCUUAAGAUUUUUCUUUCAAUUUUUUAUGAAACACAAAUUUUCCAUUUUAAGUCCGAAAUACAUCAAAUGAUGCCCGUUUUUAACCAAACUUUACAGAAAACGCUUAAAUCACAUAUAAGACUUGUACAAGACGUCGGAACCAAAAUACGAGCCCGAUACCAUAGUCUUUUUAUCAAUUUCAUUUUUCAAUUUACUUAGUUAUUUUCAAAAAGCAGUUUCACAUAAAAAUUCAUUUCUCGGACUUGGGACCUCGGAAUUUGAUUUUGGGCAUACGCCCAAGUCUCAUAUUUUCCUACGGACCCUCCAGGACCGUUAAAUCACGGGCCCGGGUCCAUUUUCCCAAAAAUGUUGACCGAAGUCAAUAUUAAUUAUAUUAAUAUCAAAGUUCAUUAUUUUCUCGCAUAAUUCAUAUUUAUGCUAUCUGACUACGCGCCCGGACUGCACACUCAAAUUGCGGAAACCCUAACUGAGGUGUUCGAGGCCUCAGAGACACAGAAUGAAUAAUGAAACAUGUGAUGAUCCUUUGGGUCAUCACAUUUUCCACCUCUAAAACAACCGUUCAUCCUCGAACGGACAAAAGAAAGAAGUACCUGAGUUGUGUAAUAGAUGGGGAUAACGACUCCAUAUCGGACUCGGACUCCUAGUUGAUGCCUCAGGAGGCUGACCUCUCCACUGAACAAGAACAGAAGGAAAACUCUUGGAUCUCAAUUGACGAACCUGCUGGUCUAGAAUAGCUACCGGCUCCUCAUAGGACAAAUCCUUGUUCAUAUGGACAGUGCUGAAAUCCAACACGUGGAAUGGAUCGCCGUGAUACAUCCAGAGCAUAGAAACAUGAAACACUGGAUGCAAUGCUGACAAGCUAGGCAGCAGGGCAAGUCUAUAAGCCACCUCUCCAUACGAUCGAGAAUCUUAAUGGACCAAUGAAUCUAGGGCUAAGCUUGCCCUUCUUCUCAAAUCUCAUCAUGCCCUUCAUAGGCGACACUCGGAGCAAUACUCAUUCACCAACCAUGAAAGCCACAUCUCGAAUCUUGCGAUCUACAUAACUCUUCUUCCUAGACUGAGCCAUCCGAAGCCUAUCCUGAAUGAUCUUGAACUUAUCCAAGGCCUCCUGAACUAAAUCUGUACCCAAUAAUUGAGCCUCACCUAGAUCAAACCAUCAAACUGGAGACUGACAUUGCAUACCGUAAAAUGCCUCAUAAGGAGCCAUAUGAAUGCUUGAAUGGUAGAUGUUAUUGUAGGCGAACUCUGCGUAAACUGAUCCCACGAGCCUCCAAAAUCAAUGACAUAGGCUCAGAGCAUAUCCUCCAAUAUCUGAAUGGUCCAUUCGGACUGCCCGUCCGUUUGUGGAUGAAAUUUUGUGCUCAACUCAACUUGGGUGCCCAACUCUCGCUGAACGGCUCUCCAGAAGCAUGAGGUAAAUUGCAUACCCUGGUCCGAAAUGGUAGAUAUCGGCACGCCAUGAAGGCGAACAAUCUCUCUGUUGUAGACCUCAGUUAACCUCUCGGAUGAAUAAUUGGCUGCAACAGGAACAAAAUGUUCUGACUUGGUCAGUCUAUCAACAAUGACCCAAAUCGCAUCAAACUUCUUCCAGGUCAAGGGGUGUACAAUUACAAAAUCCAUAGUAAUCCUCUCUCACUUCCACUAGGGAAGCUCAAUCCUCUAAAACAGUCCACCAGGCCUUUGAUGCUCAUACUUAACCUGCUGACAAUUCAAACAUUGAGCCACAUAUGCAAUAAUAUCUUUCUUUAUUCUAUGAAACCAAUAGUACUACCUCAGAUCCUAAUACAUCUUUGCGACGCCCGGGUGAAUAGAAUACCGAGAAAUGUGGGCCUCCGCUAAGAUCAACUCUCGAAUCCCAUCAACAUUGGGCACACAAAGUCUCCCCUGCAAUCUCAAGACACCAUCGUCACAUAAGGUCACCUUCUUGGCACCUUCACGCUGUACUGUGUCUCUUGGGACACACAAUUCGGGAUCGUCAAAUUGUCGCUCACGGAUAUGCUCUAACAAUGAAGAACGAGCGACCGUGCAAGCCAACACUCGUCUUGGCUUAGAAAUAUCCAAUCUCACGAAUUGAUUUGCCAAGGCCUGAACAUCCAAAGCAAGAGGUCUCUGGCUCACUGGAAUGGAAGCAAGACUACGCAUGCUGGCUGACUUCCUACUCAACGCAUUGACCACUACAUUGGCCUUCCCCGGGUGAUACAAGAUAGUAACAUCAUAAUCUUUCAACAACUCCAACCACCUUCUAUGACUCAGAUUCAACUCCUUCUGCUUGAAUAAAUACUAAAGACUCUUGUGAUCCAUAUACACCUCACACGUCACACCAUACAGAUAAUGCCACCAAAUCUUAAAUGAAUGAACAACGACUGCCAACUCCAAAUCAUGAACCAGAUAAUUAUUCUCGUAGAUCUUCAAUUGCCUCGAAGCAUAGGCAAUGACUCUUCCAUCCUGCAUCCAUACUGCACCAAGUCCAAUAUGGGAAGCAUCACAAUAAACUGGAUAAGGCCCUGAACCCGUGGGCAAAACCAAUACUGGUGCUGUAGUUAGAGUUGUCUUGAGCUUCUGAAAGCUUGUCUCACACUCAUCUGACCAUCUGAACUGAGCACCCUUCUGGGUCAACCUGGUCUUCGGGGCUGCAAUAGACGAGAACCCUCCACGAACUGAUGAUAGUAGCCUGCUAACCCCAAGAAACUUCAAAUAUCUGUAGCUGAAGAUGGUUGAGGCUAUUUCUUGACUGCCUCAAUCUUCUUCAGGUAUAUCUAAAUACCCUCUGCGAAAAUGACAUGAGCUAGAAAUGCAACUGAACCCAGUUAAAACUCACACUUUGAGAACUUAGCAUAUAACUGGCUAUCGAUUAGAGUCUGAAGAACCACUCUGACGUGCUGCUCGUGCUCCUCGUGGCUAUGGGAGUACACCAAAAAAUCAUCAAUAAAGACUGUCACGAACAUGUCCAAGUAUGGUAUGAGCACUCGGUUCAUCAACUCCAUGAAUGCUGCUGGGCAUUGGUCAACCCAAACGACAUGACCAAGAACUCAUAAUGCCCAUACCGAGUGCGGAAAGUUGUCUUAGGGACAUCAGAUGCCCUAAUCCUCAACUGAUGGUAGCCAUAUCGCAAGUCAAUCUUGGAAAAUACCCUGGCACCCCGAAGCUAAUGGAACAAAUCAUCAAUCCUUGGAAGUGGAUACUUAUUCUUGAUCAUUACCUUGUUCAAUUGAUGGUAACCACAUCUCAAGUCAAUCUUGGAAAACACCCUGGCACCCUGAAGCUAGUCGAACAAAUCAUCAAUCCUUGGCAGUGGAUACUUAUUCUUAAUCAUUACCAUGUUAAUUACCGGUAAUAUAUGCACAUCUUCAUCGAUUUGUCUUUCUUCUUGACGAAUAACACCAGCACGCCCCAUGGCGAAACACUGGGUCUAAUGAAACCUUUCUCUAGAAAAUCCUGCAACUAGUCCUUUAACUCUAUCAACUCUGGCGGGGCCAUGCAAUACGGCAGAAUGGAAAUGGGCUGAGUGCAUGGAGCCUGAUCGAUAUAAAAGUCGAUAUCUCUGUCGGGUGGCAUACCUGGCAGGUCUGAAAGGAAAAACUCGGGAAACUCCCGUACAAUGGGUACAUAAUCAAUAGAAGGGACCUCACUACUGAAUCACAAACAUAGGCCAAAUAGGCCAGACACCUCUUCUCAACCAUGCGUUGAGCUUUUACGUACAAAAUGACGCUGCGGGUAGAGUGACCUGGAGUGCCUCUAUACUCCAAUCGAGGUAUAUCCAGGAAAGCUAAGUUCAUAGUCUUGGCAUGCUAGUCCAAAAUAGCGUGAUAGGGUGAUAACCAGUCUAUACCCAAAAUGAUAUCAAAGUCAACCAUAUCUAAAAUCAACAAGUCUACACGGGUCUCAAGACCCUUAAUCAAUACAACACAUGAACGAUUGACUUGGUCGACCACGAUAGAGUCACCUGCUGGUGUAGACACAUAUACCAGGACACCAAAUGCAUCAUUAGUCGUAACUAAGCAUGGUGCAAAAUAAGAUGAAUCAUUUGAAUACAUAGACCCUGGAUCAAAUAGUACCGAAGCAACUCGAUCACAAACCAGAAUAGUACAUGUAAUGACUGCAUCUGAAGACUCAGCCUCCGGCCUAGUUGGAAGAGCAUUACAACGGGGAUGAGCCCCACCACCCUAAACUGAAUCCUCAGGCCGAUCUGCUGCUAGUUGAACUCUGCCCCUGGCGGUUUGAGCUCUACCUCUAUUACCUCUAGCACCUCUACCCUCGCCUCUAGCUGGCUGGGCAGGCCGUGGAGCAUCUGGUGCCUGUAUUAUGGCAUGGGAACCCUGUUGUGAAGAACUGCUCGAAGCUCGAUGGCAAUACCUAGCAAUGUGCCUCGUGUCGCCACAAGUAAAACAAGCUCUCGGCUACUAGGGCUGGCGACCCUGGAAACUCUGAAGCAGUGGUGCAUUGAUAGGUGUUGAUGGUGUACUAUAAGGCUGCUGAUAAGAAUAAUGCGGCUGAGAACCAUGACCACCUGAAGUACCCUGAUAAACCUGGAGUGCUGACCGAAAAGGUCUAGGAGGAUGGCCUCUAUUGUAUGAAUAUUUGCCUCCAGAUAAGGCACCACUAAAUUGACAUGAAUGGCGGGGUCUCUUAUCUGCUCUAUGACCACCCCCUGUGACAGAACCAUCUCAACUCUGCGGGUCAUGUUGGCUGCCUCUUGGAAGCUGAUCUCACUACUAGUCUCCAUAGCCAUCUGGAGACGAAUCCGCUGAAUCAAACCAUCAAUAAACCUCCUUAUCCUCUUCCUCUCGGUGGGAAGUAUGACAAGAUCAUGGCAAGCUAGAUCGAUAAACAUGACUCUGAUACCAACUUGUUAUGACCUGGAUUUCCCAACCUUCAUGGAUCGUGAUGGCGCCUACUAAUGGGAGCUAGGCAAGCCAAUUAUUAAUUACAACUCCUUAGCCACAUAAUUUUUUUUAAUAUUUAUCAACAAUAAGAUAAAAGAUACCGAUUUAACCAAACAAGGGGAAGACUUAAUAUUAAAGAAAACGAAUAAUAAUAUGGAAGUUCAUCAUAGCCUCUACCCAAAAUCUGGUGUCACAUAAUUUCAACUACUAAGAUUCACUAAAUACAACGUCGGAAAGAAAGUGCAAGCUGUUUGUCUCGAAAUACAUGAGAUACAGACAGAAAUAAAGAUAUAGGAGACGCCGAUGCCUGCGGAUGCCUGCAAGGAUACCUAGGUAUCUCACUAGAAUGAAGACUCAGUCCUAGGCUACUGCUACUGUUCAAAAGUUUCUCUGGUAUUUGCACAUAAGUGUAGAGUGUAGCACCAGCACAACCGACCCCAUGUGCUGGUAAAUGUCUGGCCUAACCCCAGCGAAGUAGUGACGAGGCUAGGAACAGACUCCAGAUAGACGUGUUCAGUUAUAUAAUACACAUCAAAGAAAUAACAGGAAAUAACAAGUAAAACUAGGGAGGUAAAACAUGCUCUGGGGAUAGCAAAAUAAACAAAAUUCUCAGAACUGACAAAGAACUCACUAUAAAACUACUAACACGAAUAAAGAUAUAUAAAACAACUUUCAUUUAAAUGCUCAUGUCGUUGUAGGCGUGCAACCCAAUCCCAUUUCUCAAUUUCUCGCGGUAGGCGUACCACCCGAUCCCAUUUCAUCGCAACGCGUGGUAAGCAUACCACCCGAUCCAAUUUCAAUCAAUAUCUUGUGGUAGGCGUACCACCCAAUCCCAUUUCAUCAAAAUCUUGUGGUAGGUGUACCACUCGAUCCCAUUUCAUCAAUAUCUUAUGGUAGGCGUACCACCCGAUCCCAUUUCAUCAAUAUCUUAUGGUAGGCGUACCACCCGAUCCCAUUUCAAUCAAUAUCUUGUGGUAGGCGUAUGACUUGUACCAGGCAUCGGAACCAAAAUACAAGCCUGAUACCAUAUUCUUUUAAUCAAUCUCAUUUUCUAAUUUCUUUAGUUAUUUUCAGGAAACAAUUUCAUAUAAAAAUUUAUUUCUCGGAAUUGGGACCUCGGAAUUUGAUUCUGGUCAUACGCCUAAGUCCCAUAUUUUCCUACGGACCCUCCGGGACUGUCAAAUCACAGGUCCGGGUCCGUUUAACCAAAUUAUUAUCCGAAGUCAAUAUUAAUCAUAUUAAUAUCAAAAUUCAUCAUUUUCUCGCAGAAUUCAUAUUUAAGCUUUCCGGAUACGCACCUAGACUGCGCACUCAAACUGAGACAACCAUUAGUGAGGUGUUCGAAGCCUCGUAGACACAGAAUGAAUAAUGAAACAGGUGAUGAACCUUUGGGUCGUCACAACAUAGCAUGUUUGUGAUCAAGCCUUGUGCUGAUCGAUAAAUAUCCCGCAUCGAUAUGGCUAUAUCUUGCUAAGACUUUAACUGAAAGCCUUAUGUUAAGCCUUGUAGUAUUAGCAAGAUACAUUAGUGCAUCAGUUGCACUAAGAUAUAGUACUUCAGGACUAAGAAGCAUUAUUUUCAGCGUACCACCCGAUCCCAUUUCAUCAAUAUCUUGUGGUAGGCGUACCACUCGAUUACAUUUCAAUCAAUAUCUUGUGAUAGGCAUACCACCCGAUCCCAUUUCUUCCAACACAAUACACAAAAUAGACCCGGCAAGAGAACAAGACAAUGUAAUAUCUUCCCGGCAAGGGAAUACAAUAACACAAUUCAAAUGUUCCGGCAAGGGAGGGUCAACUAUAACCAAUUCUAUUCAAUUUCUUCUCGGUAUAGUUAAAUCCAACACUCAGUAUCAAGGAUUAUCAAUCAAGGAUUUUAUAGGAUUGAUUAAGAAUUAACAACUAUCAAUUUAAUACCCAUGUUUAUGCUUGACACCAACAUAUAGAUACUCAUCACCAUGCCCAUACGUCGUACACAACACAAACACGUAGCAAAUACGACUCAAAUCCUAAUCCCUCAAGAUAUGGUUACACUAAACACUUACCUAGAUGUUUUGAACUCACUCAAGCCUCAAUUACAGCUUUACCCUUUGAUUCCACCACCAAUCCGCUCGAAUCUAGUCACAAAUCACUUAAAUACAUCAACAAAUGCUAAGUGAAACAAUUUGAAUGGCAUAAAAAUGGAUUUCCCAAAAGUUUUGCCCAAAAUUCCAAAAACGUCCCCAGGACCGCGUGGUCAAAACCCGAGGUUCGAACCAAAACUCAGUUUCCCAUUCCCCCAUGAACUCAAAUAUAUGAUUUAAUUCGGGAUCGGACCUCGAAUUGAGGUCCAAAACCUCAAAUUUUAGAAAAUUUAGGUUCUACCCAUAACUCCCAAAUUUUCCCAUUAAUAUCUUUGAUUUGAAGUUGUAAUCAUGUUAAAAGAUGCUAACGAGUGGGAAAAAUAGUUUAGAAAUCACUUACCAAUCGUUUUGAAGAAGAAAAGUUGUUUGAAAAAUUGCCUCUUAUGUUUUGAGAUUUUUGAAAAGUGUAAAAUGACUGAAAAUCCCGUCUUUUUAUACCCUCCCAGAAGUACCAGUAUGGACUGUGCAAGGAGGAGCGCGGCCGUGCAGCUUCCCCGUGGACCGCGCCAAAUGGAUCGCGACCGCACUAGCCCCUCUGCGGCCGCACACAUUUUCAUGUGGGCCGCGCCAGAGGGUUCUGAGACCUGCAAUAUUACAACUCUGUGAUUCUUCCAGCGCAUACCGAACUGACAGGGAGCGCGGCCGCGCUGGUUAACCUGGAACACUGCUAUUUUAAGUCUAAAACCUCCCGUAACCUAUUCAAAACUCACUUGAGCCUUCGGAGCUCCAAACCAAACAUACACACCACCUCAAAAAUAUCCUACAAACUUACUCGUGCGAUCAAAUUGCCAAAAUAACAUUAUACACAUAGAAUCAAGCCCCAAAAUUUAAGAUUUUUCUUUCAAUUUUUCAUGAAUUACAAAAUUUCCAUUUUAAGUCCUAAAUACGUCAAAUGAUGUCCGUUUUCAACCGAACUCUACAGAAAUCUCUUAAAUCAUAUAUAUGACUUGUACCAGGCAUCGGAACCAAAAUACAAGCCUGAUACCAUAUUCUUUUAAUCAAUCUCAUUUUCUAAUUUCUUUAGUUAUUUUCAGGAAACAAUUUCAUAUAAAAAUUUAUUUCUCGGAAUUGGGACCUCGGAAUUUGAUUCUGGUCAUACGCCUAAGUCCCAUAUUUUCCUACGGACCCUCCGGGACUGUCAAAUCACAGGUCCGGGUCCGUUUAACCAAAUUAUUAUCCGAAGUCAAUAUUAAUCAUAUUAAUAUCAAAAUUCAUCAUUUUCUCGCAGAAUUCAUAUUUAAGCUUUCCGGAUACGCACCUAGACUGCGCACUCAAACUGAGACAACCAUUAGUGAGGUGUUCGAAGCCUCGUAGACACAGAAUGAAUAAUGAAACAGGUGAUGAACCUUUGGGUCGUCACAACAUAGCAUGUUUGUGAUCAAGCCUUGUGCUGAUCGAUAAAUAUCCCGCAUCGAUAUGGCUAUAUCUUGCUAAGACUUUAACUGAAAGCCUUAUGUUAAGCCUUGUAGUAUUAGCAAGAUACAUUAGUGCAUCAGUUGCACUAAGAUAUAGUACUUCAGGACUAAGAAGCAUUAUUUUCAUGAGGUUGAAAUGGAUCUUUAUUUAUAUCAAGUGAUCUCACAUCUACGGGGAUACUAAAUGGAUGUGCUUUAUCCAUAUAAAAUUCAUUUAAAAUCUUUUUGGUGUAUGCCGAUUUAUGGAUAAAAUUUCAUCUUUCAUAUACAGAAUUUGUAGACCUCGAUAAAAUUUUGUCUUUUCAAGUUUUAUUUCAAAUUCUUUCUUUCAACAGUCUACUGCUUUAGGUAGCUACUUGGGAGUUCUAAUGAUAUUUGAAUCACCAACAUAUACAAAGAUUAUAACAAAUUCAAAUCUAGAUCUUUUUUAUAAAGAUAAAUGGAUAAAUUGAAUCAUCUUGUACCAUUCUUUCAAUUGGUACUUACACAUGCGAUAAUACCACAUGCGCCCUGAUUGUUUCAAUUCGUGUAAGAAUUUUUGAAGCUUUAUUUAAUAAAUUUCUUGAAGACAUUAAUAUGCUUCAGAAUAAUUUUAAUCCUUCAGUGAUUUUCAUUAUACGAAUAUCAAGUUUUCAUGUAUUGCCAGAUUAAAAUUUGAAAUGAUUAUAUUCACCAUAAGAACACAUGUCUCCAUAUAAUCAAUGUGAGGAUAUUUACUAAUUUUCUUGUGUCACAAGUCGUCUUUAUGUCUAUUAACUUGAACGUUUUGCACAAGAACAUAGUUUAUACCUCCAUUGGCUUUAUACUUCCAGGUAUUUUUACAUUUUUUAAAGUGAAGUCAGUUUUCAUUGCGUAUUUUUCAUUUGGCCAAUCAUUUAUCUGUACAAAUUUCAUGACAGAUUUGAGCUUAAUAUCCCCGUCAAUGUCAAUAAUAUUGAGCACCACAUUAUGUUAACAAUAUCGUCGAUGAUCAUUUUAUAUCAGUUCAGUUAUUACACAAUAAAGACAUAACUUAUUCAGAUCUCUUUAUCUCAUUAUUUUCAGGUACUUGAGCCUCUCACAUGAGAUCUUAUGGAGUGUUAUGUCGUGGUGCUCUUUUAUAGCACUUGCCUCAUUAUUAUGGCCAUAUUGAACAUUUUUCCCUCUCCUUCCUCAAGGAGUUUAAUAUUUGGAACCGAUUGGUCUAUUAUGCUUUAUGCAUGCCAUAAACUCUGUCCCUCAUGGACUUGAGAACUAGCAGUUGAAAUAUGACAUUUAGUUUUGGGUCAGCAAAUGCGUUUGACAAUAAUUUAUAAAUUAAUUAUCACUUGAACUUCAAGUUCAUAUUUUCUUG
rnacentral:lncRNA from 1 species